AUGAAUCUCCCGGUGAUCGCCUGUGUCCUCCUCCUACUUCUCGAUCUCAAUGUUUCUCCCGUGGAGCCGUCCCGGCCGCAGGGGCUCGCGAAGGGGCGCCACACGCCCGGAAAGGGGAACCACCACGGCCAUAGCGGGCACAGCGGCGACGACGGGCACCAACACGACCACUCCGACGACUACAACGGGUACAGCUUCUACGUCUUCGGCGACUCCUUUGCCGACAACGGCAACCUCGUCAAGAUGAACCCAAGAUCCGAGCUCAAUCGCCAGUGGCGCUAUCCCUAUGGCUUAUCCGGCCGCUUCUCCAACAGCUUGGUUCAGUCCGACCUCAUCGCCUACAUGCUAGGGCAGAAAAAGUCCCCUCCGGCGCACAGGCUCACGCGCAAGGUCGGCAAGGCUGGAUUGAACUUCGCCGCCGGCGGCUCCGGCGUGUUUGACGCACCGGACACCCAGACGCUCGCCAGGCAGAUCCACACCUUCCACAAGCUCGUCAAGGACGGAGACAUCGACCAGGACCGCCUCGCGUCCAAAUCCGUCGCGCUCGUCGCCGUCUCCGGCAACGACUACGCCCGCCUUCCCGCCGACACCAAGAGCUUCGCCGAGGUGGAUGAUUUCGCCAGGAAGGUGGUGGAGGAGAUCGCGUUUAACGUGCGGCGCCUGCAAGACAUCGGCGUGGAGAAGGUGCUCGUCAACAACCUCCACCCUUUCGGAUGCUCGCCGUCGGAGACCAGGGCGUACAACCACACGCGCUGCAAUGAGCGGCGCAACCUGGCCGCCACGCUCCACAACCACCACCUCGCCGACGAGCUGGCCGGCAUGGACGACGUGCUGCUGCUCGACCUCAACGCCGCCUUCAGCAACGUCGUCCGGCACUACAACGAUGACGGGGACGGCGACAUCAUUCCCAAUCUCUUCAGGGAGAAGCUGGCGCCGUGCUGCGAGAGCACCGACCCCAAGGGCUACUGCGGGCAGGUCGACACGGAGAAGUUGGAACCCCUCUACAAGGUGUGCGACAACCCCAACUAUUUCUUCUUUUGGGACGAGAUGAACCCCACCAUGGUCGGGUGGCAGGCCGUCAUGGGCCCGCUCGAUCACCCCAUCAGGAAGUUCUUAGGGCUCAUUAGGUAG
rnacentral:rRNA from 1 species